UCGAGAAUUUUUCUCAAUGGGGGAAACCCUGAAGGAGCGACGCCGCGUGGAGGAUGAAGGUCUUCGGAUUGUAAACUCCUGUCAUUAGGGAACAAUUGCCGGCAAAUAACUACUGCCGGCUUGAUAGUACCUGAAGAGGAAGAGACGGCUAACUCUGUGCCAGCAGCCGCGGUAAUACAGAGGUCUCAAGCGUUGUUCGGAUUCAUUGGGCGUAAAGGGUGCGUAGGUGGCGCCAUAAGUCAGGUGUGAAAUCUCGGGGCUCAACCCCGAAACUGCACUUGAUACUGUGGUGCUCGAGUACUGGAGAGGAGAUUGGAAUUUACGGUGUAGCAGUGAAAUGCGUAGAUAUCGUAAGGAAGACCAGUGGCGAAGGCGAAUCUCUGGACAGUUACUGACACUGAGGCACGAAGGCCAGGGGAGCAAACG
rnacentral:rRNA from 1 species